UGAACGCUGGCGGUAUGCUUAACACAUGCAAGUCGAACGGAAACGAUACUAGCUUGCUAGUAGGCGUCGAGUGGCGGACGGGUGAGUAACGCGUAGGAAUCUGCCUGAUAGUGGGGGAUAGCCCGAAGAAAUUCGGAUUAAUACCGCAUAAUCUAUUCGUAGUAAAGUGGGGGACUUUCGAGCCUCACGCUAUCAGAUGAGCCUGCGUAAGAUUAGCUUGUUGGUAGGGUAAAAGCCUACCAAGGCGACGAUCUUUAGCUGGUCUGAGAGGAUGAUCAGCCACAUCGGGACUGAGACACGGCCCGAACUCCUACGGGAGGCAGCAGUGGGGAAUAUUGGACAAUGGGGGCAACCCUGAUCCAGCAAUACCGCGUGUGUGAAGAAGGCCUGAGGGUUGUAAAGCACUUUCAAUUGUGAAGAAAAGUUAGCGGUUAAUAACCGUUAGCCUUGACGUUAACUUUAGAAGAAGCACCGGCUAACUCCGUGCCAGCAGCCGCGGUAAUACGGAGGGUGCAAGCGUUAAUCGGAAUUACUGGGCGUAAAGCGUGCGUAGGCGGUUUAUUAAGUCAGAUGUGAAAGCCCCGGGCUUAACCUGGGAACUGCAUUUGAAACUGGUCAACUAGAGUAUGGUAGAGGAAAGUGGAAUUUCUGGUGUAGCGGUGAAAUGCGUAGAUAUCAGAAGGAACAUCAAUGGCGAAGGCAGCUUUCUGGACCAAUACUGACGCUGAGGUACGAAAGCGUGGGUAGCAAACAGGAUUAGAUACCCUGGUAGUCCACGCCGUAAACGAUGAUAACUAGCCGUUGGGGGGAUUUACCCUUUAGUGGCGAAGCUAACGCGUUAAGUUAUCCGCCUGGGGAGUACGGCCGCAAGGUUAAAACUCAAAGGAAUUGACGGGGACCCGCACAAGCGGUGGAGCAUGUGGUUUAAUUCGAUGCAACGCGAAGAACCUUACCUGGUCUUGACAUCCUGCGAACUUUCUAGAAAUAGAUUGGUGCCUUCGGGAACGCAGUGACAGGUGCUGCAUGGCUGUCGUCAGCUCGUGUCGUGAGAUGUUGGGUUAAGUCCCGUAACGAGCGCAACCCCUAUCCUUAUUUGCCAGCACAUUAUGGUGGGAACUAUAAGGAGACUGCCGGUGAUAAACCGGAGGAAGGCGGGGACGACGUCAAGUCAUCAUGGCCCUUACGACCAGGGCUACACACGUGCUACAAUGGGAAGGACAAAGAGCCGCGAAGCCGCGAGGUGUAGCUAAUCUCAUAAACCUUUUCGUAGUCCGGAUUGGAGUCUGCAACUCGACUCCAUGAAGUCGGAAUCGCUAGUAAUCGUAGAUCAGAAUGCUACGGUGAAUACGUUCCCGGGUCUUGUACACACCGCCCGUCA
rnacentral:rRNA from 1 species